AGUAGACUUAUUUCGUUUUUUAACUGAAAUAAAAAAAACAUUUAUCAACAUAUUAUGUUGAUUCAAGUAGUGGUGUUAUCGUUAACGUGAUUUACACAGUGUAACCAUGAGUCUAACAAUUUGGGAACAAUAAUAUAUUUUAAAAAGGCUUGUUUUAUUAAUAAUGCUCGUAUAUCGAUAACGAUCUUAUUUUAUCACGUUCUGUUAUUGUAUAGGUGACGAUAUUUUAUGCAAAAAAAAAAAAAAAUAAUAGGUUAGAUAUUCCGACGGGCCUGGAGAAUUACAAAAAGGUUGAAUUCUCGUAGAGAUCCCGUUAAGGCCGAAAAAAUAAAACUCAUUCACAUAAAAUUCCUUAGACCCGUUUCGAUCGUAUUUUAUUACCUGUGCGAAUCCGUUUUGAUCAAAUCUUUUAAAACAUGACCUAUAAGUUAUAAAAACUAUAUAGAUAGUUCAGUUAGGGGUAACUAUUCUAAAUCAAUAAUAAAAUCCGUUUGAAAAAUAUCGCAUAAAAAGCAUCCCGCGUAGUAAAAAAAUCAAAAUAUUUAAAAACUCAUUAAACGUCUUGAUCGAAUUUUUCAAAAGAAAACCAGAUAGGUUUUUAUAUUUGCUCGUCAAAUAUUUUCAACUAAAUCUUUCGACUCGGUUCAUAACUCAAUAUUCACGUGCAUGUCCUAUAGCAUAUAUUAUUAUAUUGUUCGUUUACUUUUUCGGGUUGACAUAAACUCUUACACUCUGGCACUCUGGAAAUGUAUGCCACGCACUAUGAUUGCAAAUGUAUAGAAU